rnacentral:rRNA from 1 species
ACGAACGCUGGCGGCGUGCUUAACACAUGCCAGUCGCACGGAAAGGCCCAGCUUGCUGGGUACUCGAGUGGCGAACGGGUGAGUAACACGUGGGUGAUCUGCCCCUGACUUUGGGAUAAGCCUGGGAAACUGGGUCUAAUACCGGAUAUGACCUUACAUCGCAUGGUGUUUGGUGGAAAGCUUUUGCGGUUGGGGAUGGGCCCGCGGCCUAUCAGCUUGUUGGUGGGGUAAUGGCCUACCAAGGCGACGACGGGUAGCCGACCUGAGAGGGUGAUCGGCCACACUGGGACUGAGACACGGCCCAGACUCCUACGGGAGGCAGCAGUGGGGAAUAUUGCACAAUGGGCGCAAGCCUGAUGCAGCGACGCCGCGUGAGGGAUGACGGCCUUCGGGUUGUAAACCUCUUUCACCAGGGACGAAGCGUGAGUGACGGUACCUGGAGAAGAAGCACCGGCCAACUACGUG